CCUACCUAUUCAGCCUUGCCUUGGAGAGAGAAAAUCAGAUUGAGGUGAAUCAAAUAUGAUAAUUUGUUAAUCAUUUAAUAGCAUUAUUCUUCUCAAAAGCACCCUUAAUGCUCCAGUGCAAUGUUUCCAAUGUCAAUUAGGAUAUAAGAAUCAGCUGCUCUUUUAUUCAUCUUGCACAACAUUCUCAGUCACUGCCACAUUUCAAAAGAUGCCUAAAACACUCUCUGGGGAUCAAUAGUGCACAGUUGGUUGCAUUUCCGUGUGCACAAGUUGGUAUAAGCUUUACAGACAGUGAAUUUAAACCUAAUACCAGUGCAUUUAUCAUUAGAAUUAUUAUAUUUGCAAACAUGUAACAUUCCACCUCCACAUUUCUUUUUUUAAACUUCAUUUUGCACUUUGCUGUGCCACAGUUUCAGUUGUCUGUAUGUAGUUUCACCAGUAGGUGGACUCACUGAAGUGCAACACACUGCACGAAAGACAAGAACUUGCUCAGUUCAGGUUCAGUCUCAUGGGCAUAGUUGGAUUCUGGAGUCUUCAGUGACUACUAUAGAUGUGCUUUGUGAAGGUUUUCUUUCACACAGACUUCAUAUAUGAAAGCAUCUGACAGCAUAAUGGAAGAAUGUGUCCCUUUUUUGAAUGCUUUGUCAGACAAUGUUUUUUUUUCCUAGUAUUGGCCUUUGAAAUCAAUAUUUGCUUUCUGGUUCAGGAGUCUAUCUUAGCUUUGGGCACAGACAAAUGUGGUGGAUAUGCAAAUAAUGAUAGAAGGGAAUAGCAAACCUUGUGUCUAAUCUGGCUUUUUUUGCCCAACCCAGCAUUUACAUGCAAUUCAUGAAGAUUUGGAGCAUUACUGUUAAUCAGGCAGAAAUACAGCAUUAAAAAACACCUGCACUCCUCAUUUCAAACCAUUGCUUGGCCUUCUGUUUAUGGCUGCUGCUUCUCUAUUAUCAGCCCUGCAUAUUGUUAAAGUUCUUAUGCUCUGUGUGUUAUUGAUCAUGUAUGUAUGUAUGUAUGUAUGUAUAAGCUUUGUGUGCCUCUAAAGAAAACCACUUAUAUGUUGGCCACUGACUGCCUUUUAAGAACAGGCUAUUGUAUUUUAUUUUUUUAACGUCCCUUUAUUGGAGGCAAAUGUAUAUGUUAAGUAACAUGUAAUUAAAACAAACAAAAUAAAUAUGAAACUA
ensembl:lncRNA